rnacentral:lncRNA from 1 species
AAUGCAAUUUUAUAGUAACAAUUUCAGAAAUAGAGUCGGGCUACAAUGCUGGUAAAAGCACUCAGUACUUGGUGUUUUUAAAUUUUGUGCCGUUAGAUCUACACUUUUGAUCAUUUUCAUUCGUUAGAUUAUACUAUUCAAUCAACUAUCCACUCAACCCUAGGGGAUCCAUAUUAUUUUAAUCGCACAUUUCUUAAUCCAAUGGUAAAAAAUUUACAAGCACAAAUAACUUUGUACUUUUAAAAGCAUAGGAGCUUAAUUAUAUAUAUAUAUAAUUAGGCUGGAAUACUAUUAAUAGUAAAACGCUCUUUUUGCUAUCAAGUUUUUAAUCCUUGGAUGAAAAAUUGUAGGGUCAGGAUGAUAUUAGUAGGUUAGAGUUGAGUGGUCCCCCUAGGGUUGAGUGGUCCCCACUGGGUUAUAGUAUUUAAUCCAAUGGUUAGAAAUAAUGAAAAGAGUUGAUCCAAAGGCUAAAAAACUGGUAGCAAUAAUGAAAUUUUGCUACUAAUAGUAGCCCAGUCCAACUCUAUAUAUAUAUAUAUA